UCUUGACUAGUAUAUCGGUUCAGUACACCCGCUUGUCAUCAAUAUCCACCAUGGUUUCGCGGGAGAGCAGGGUUCGACUCCCUGGUCGAGAG